UGUUGCCAGCAGCUAGCUCUCUGCAACACUCACACGGGUUGCCCACUGAAGAUAAGCAGGAGCGCUUGCCAGGCCAGUACUUGGAUGGGAGACCACAUGGGAAAGCUAGACUGACACCGG
rnacentral:rRNA from 1 species